rnacentral:rRNA from 1 species
GAUGAACGCUAGCGGCAGGCCUAAUACAUGCAAGUCGAGGGAGAAUGUUGGAUUCGUCUGACAUGAAACCGGCGCACGGGUGCGUAACACGUAUGCAACCUACCUUUAACUGGGGUAUAGCUCAGAGAAAUCUGAAUUAAUCCCCCAUAAGACUACGACAUGGCAUCAUGAUGUAGUUAAAGCUCCGGCGGUUAAGGAUGGGCACGCGGUACAUUAGCUAGUUGGUGAGGUAAUGGCUCACCAAGGCUACGAUGUAUAGGGGGUCUGAGAGGAUGAUCCCCCACACUGGUACUGAGACACGGACCAGACUCCUACGGGAGGCAGCAGUAGGGAAUAUUGGUCAAUGGACGCAAGUCUGAACCAGCCAUGCCGCGUGAAGGAUGAAGGCCCUAUGGGUCGUAAACUUCUUUUAUUAGGGAAGAAAAAACGGGAUGCGUCCUGUACUGACGGUACUUAAUGAAUAAGGAUCGGCUAACUUCGAGCCAGCAGCCGCAGUAA